AGUCCUAUAGACCCUGGUCUAAAGUAGUGCCCUCAAUCCUAUAGGUCCUGGUCAAAAGUAGUGCACUAUAUAGGGAAUAGGGUGCCAGUUGACACACUACCCUGUCAUAUAUAUAUAUAUAUUAGGGCAUUUUGUCAGCUGUAUUUCAUUCUCUUUCUGUCUGCAACCUUCAUGAAACGACAUGGGGUGUGUUUAUUAGUGCAGACCGUAGCGAAACAGUGCAACAGAAAACGAAAACAACCGCUUCUUAUUGGACAAUAUCGGGUAGUUCACUCCCCGUUUUGGCUCGUUUGAAUCCUAAUGAACACACCCCCGGCCUUAUUUCCCCCUGCCACAAUGUUUGACUGUUUUGGACUGAAACAACGAGCACUGUUACCAUAGUAACCACCAUGAAGGUGAUUGUACAGGAAGUCAUCUGGCCUUUGUCUGUGAACAUAAUGUUGUUGUUUUUUUUUCGUAUGAUAUUUUCCUGUACUGUUGGUUUGCAAGUAAACAUCUGUAAAAUACC